CGAACGCUGGCGGCAGGCCUAACACAUGCAAGUCGAACGCCCCGCAAGGGGAGUGGCGCACGGGUGAGUAAUGCGUGGGAACGUACCCAGCAGUACGGAAUAACCCAGGGAAACCUGGGCUAAUACCGUAUACGUCCUUAGGGAGAAAGAUUUAUCGCUGUUGGAGCGGCCCACGUCGGAUUAGCUAGUUGGUGAGGUAACGGCCCACCAAGGCUACGAUCCGUAGCUGGUCUGAGAGGACGACCAGCCACACUGGGACUGAGACACGGCCCAGACUCCUACGGGAGGCAGCAGUGGGGAAUAUUGGACAAUGGGGGCAACCCUGAUCCAGCCAUGCCGCGUGAGUGAUGAAGGCCUUAGGGUUGUAAAGCUCUUUCGACGGGGACGAUAAUGACGGUACCCGUAGAAGAAGCCCCGGCUAACUCCGUGCCAGCAG
rnacentral:rRNA from 1 species